rnacentral:rRNA from 1 species
GCGUGCCUAAUACAUGCAAGUCGAACGCCCAUGUAAAGGUCUGUGCACCUUUCAAGUGAGUCGGGAAGGUGAGAAUAACACGUGGACACCCUGCUUCAGGGCUGGGUAACACAUGGGGAAACAGAUGCUAAUACCGUAUCACAUUUUGUGUCACAUGUUAAGAAUUUAAGAGGCGCUUUGGCAUCACUUAGGGAUGGAUCCGCGGUGCAUUAGUUAGUUGGUGGGGUAAAGGCUCACCAAGACAAUGAUGCAUAGCCGACUUGAGAGGGUGAUCGGCCACAUUGGGACUGAGACACGGCCCAAACUCCUACGGGAGGCAGCAGUAGGGAAUCUUCCACAAUGGGCGAAAGCCUGAUGGAGCAACGCCGCGUGAGUGAAGAAGGUUUUCGGGUCGUAAAACUCUGUUGUUUGGGAAGAACAGAUACAAUAGUGAAUGAUUUUACUUUGACGGUACCCUACCAGAAAGCCACGGCUAAAUACGUGCCAGCAGCCGCGGUAAUACGUAGGUGGCGAGCGUUGUCCGGAUUUAUUGGGCGUAAAGCGAGCGCAGGCGGUUUAUUAAGUCUGAUGUGAAAGCCCCGGGCUCAACUCGGGAAGGGCAUUGGAAACUGGUAAACUUGAGUGCAGAAGAGGAAAGUGGAAUUCCAUGUGUAGCGGUGAAAUGCGUAGAUAUAUGGAAGAACACCAGUGGCGAAAG